GAACUGCGAUACGUAAUGUGACUUGCAGAAUCUCGUGAAUCAUCAAAUCUUUGAACGCAAAUGGCGCUCCCGGGCAUUCCUGGGAGCACGCCUGUCUGAGUAUCAUUGUCUUCACCCUCCGCCGCCGCGCCGCGUUCCGCGCGCGCGCGCCCGGCGGGGUAUGGCGGCCACGCAGCUCACCCCGCGCGCCCGCUCAAACACGCCCUUUUUUUAUUGCAUGGGUUGGAGCCACGCCAUCGGCAACCCCCCCGGCCACGCUGUAAGCCUCAUCGCUCCCCGCGGCCGGGCCCGCCGUUUUGGCGGCCGCCCCCAACCCAUGACACACACUCCAUGAUCUCAGAUCAGGCGAGAGGACCCGCUGAACUUAA
rnacentral:misc_RNA from 1 species